rnacentral:rRNA from 1 species
UGGGGAAUAUUGCACAAUGGGCGCAAGCCUGAUGCAGCCAUGCCGCGCGUAUGAAGAAGGCCUUCGGGUUGUAAAGUACUUUCAGUCGGGAGGAAGGUGUCAAGGUUAAUAACCUUGGCAAUUGACGUUACCGACAGAAGAAGCACCGGCUAACUCCGUGCCAGCAGCCGCGGUAAUACGGAGGGUGCAAGCGUUAAUCGGAAUUACUGGGCGUAAAGCGCACGCAGGCGGUUGAUUGAGUCAGAUGUGAAAUCCCCGGGCUUAACCCGGGAAUUGCAUCUGAUACUGGUCAGCUAGAGUCUUGUAGAGGGGGGUAGAAUUCCAUGUGUAGCGGUGAAAUGCGUAGAGAUGUGGAGGAAUACCGGUGGCGAAGGCGGCCCCCUGGACAAAGACUGACGCUCAGGUGCGAAAGCGUGGGGAGCAAACAGG